GACGAACGCUGGCGGCGUGCUUAACACAUGCAAGUCGAACGGAAAGGCCCUGCUUUUGUGGGGUGCUCGAGUGGCGAACGGGUGAGUAACGCGUGAGUAACCUGCCCUUGACUUUGGGAUAACUUCAGGAAACUGGGGCUAAUACCGGAUAGGAGCUCCUGCUGCAUGGUGGGGGUUGGAAAGUUUCGGCGGUUGGGGAUGGACUCGCGGCUUAUCAGCUUGUUGGUGGGGUAGUGGCUUACCAAGGCUUUGACGGGUAGCCGGCCUGAGAGGGUGACCGGCCACAUUGGGACUGAGAUACGGCCCAGACUCCUACGGGAGGCAGCAGUGGGGAAUAUUGCACAAUGGGCGGAAGCCUGAUGCAGCAACGCCGCGUGCGGGAUGACGGCCUUCGGGUUGUAAACCGCUUUCGCCUGUGACGAAGCGUGAGUGACGGUAAUGGGUAAAGAAGCACCGGCUAACUACGUGCCAGCAGCCGCGGUGAUACGUAGGGUGCGAGCGUUGUCCGGAUUUAUUGGGCGUAAAGGGCUCGUAGGUGGUUGAUCGCGUCGGAAGUGUAAUCUUGGGGCUUAACCCUGAGCGUGCUUUCGAUACGGGUUGACUUGAGGAAGGUAGGGGAGAAUGGAAUUCCUGGUGGAGCGGUGGAAUGCGCAUAUAUCAGGAGGAACACCAGUGGCGAAGGCGGUUCUCUGGGCCUUUCCUGACGCUGAGGAGCGAAAGCGUGGGGAGCGAACAGGCUUAGAUACCCUGGUAGUCCACGCUGUAAACGGUGGGUACUAGGUGUGGGGUCCAUUCCACGGGUUCCGUGCCGUAGCUAACGCUUUAAGUACCCCGCCUGGGGAGUACGGCCGCAAGGCUAAAACUCAAAGGAAUUGACGGGGCCCCGCACAAGCGGCGGAGCAUGCGGAUUAAUUCGAUGCAACGCGUAGAACCUUACCUGGGUUUGACAUGGAUCGGGAGUGCUCAGAGAUGGGUGUGCCUCUUUUGGGGUCGGUUCACAGGUGGUGCAUGGCUGUCGUCAGCUCGUGUCGUGAGAUGUUGGGUUAAGUCCCGCAACGAGCGCAACCCUUGUUCACUGUUGCCAGCACGUUAUGGUGGGGACUCAGUGGAGACCGCCGGGGUCAACUCGGAGGAAGGUGGGGAUGACGUCAAGUCAUCAUGCCCCUUAUGUCCAGGGCUUCACGCAUGCUACAAUGGCUGGUACAGAGAGUGGCGAGCCUGUGAGGGUGAGCGAAUCUCGGAAAGCCGGUCUCAGUUCGGAUUGGGGUCUGCAACUCGACCUCAUGAAGUCGGAGUCGCUAGUAAUCGCAGAUCAGCAACGCUGCGGUGAAUACGUUCCCGGG
rnacentral:rRNA from 1 species